rnacentral:rRNA from 1 species
GACGAACGUUGGCGGCGUGCUUAAUACAUGCAAGUCAACUGAAGCAGUGGUAGCAAUAUCGCUGUGGAGGUGGCGCACGGGUGAGUAACACGUAGGUAAUCUGCCUUCAGGUCUGGCAUAACUCCGGGAAACCGGGGCUAAUAGCAGAUGAUGCAGCGGCUCGACAUCGAGACAGUUGUUAAAGCUAUGGCGCCUGAAGAUGAGCCUGCGUCUGAUUAGCUAGUUGGCGGGGUAACGGCCCACCAAGGCAACGAUCAGUAGCUGGUCUGAGAGGAUGAUCAGCCACACUGGAACUGAGACACGGUCCAGACUCCGACGGGAGGCAGCAGGAAGGAAUAUUGCUCAAUGGGAGAAAUCCUGAAGCAGCAACGCCGCGUGAGGGACGAAGGGCUUUUGCUUGUAAACCUCUGUAGUGAGAGAAAAAAAUCCCAAUCUUUGGGACAUGAUGGUAUCUCAAAAGUAAGCCCCGGCUAACUACGUG